rnacentral:rRNA from 1 species
CGGCGGACGGGUGAGUAACGCGUGGGUAACCUACCCUGUACACACGGAUAACAUACCGAAAGGUAUGCUAAUACGGGAUAAUAUAUUUGAGAGGCAUCUCUUAAAUAUCAAAGGUGAGCCAGUACAGGAUGGACCCGCGUCUGAUUAGCUAGUUGGUAAGGUAACGGCUUACCAUGGCGACGAUCAGUAGCCGACCUGAGAGGGUGAUCGGCCACAUUGGAACUGAGACACGGUCCAA